rnacentral:rRNA from 1 species
GAUGAAGCCCUUCGGGGUGGAUUAGUGGCGAACGGGUGAGUAACACGUGGGCAAUCUGCCCUGCACUCUGGGACAAGCCCUGGAAACGGGGUCUAAUACCGGAUAUCACUCCUACUCGCAUGGGUGGGGGUUGAAAGCUCCGGCGGUGCAGGAUGAGCCCGCGGCCUAUCAGCUUGUUGGUGAGGUAAUGGCUCACCAAGGCGACGACGGGUAGCCGGCCUGAGAGGGCGACCGGCCACACUGGGACUGAGACACGGCCCAGACUCCUACGGGAGGCAGCAGUGGGGAAUAUUGCACAAUGGGCGCAAGCCUGAUGCAGCGACGCCGCGUGAGGGAUGACGGCCUUCGGGUUGUAAACCUCUUUCAGCAGGGAAGAAGCGCAAGUGACGGUACCUGCAGAAGAAGCGCCGGCUAACUACGUGCCAGCAGCCGCGGUAAUACGUAGGGCGCAAGCGUUGUCCGGAAUUAUUGGGCGUAAAGAGCUCGUAGGCGGCUUGUCACGUCGGGUGUGAAAGACCGGGGCUUAACUCCGGUUCUGCAUUCGAUACGGGCUGGCUAGAGUGUGGUAGGGGAGAUCGGAAUUCCUGGUGUAGCGGUGAAAUGCGCAGAUAUCAGGAGGAACACCGGUGGCGAAGGCGGAUCUCUGGGCCAUUACUGACGCUGAGGAGCGAAAGCGUGGGGAGCGAACAGGAUUAGAUACCCUGGUAGUCCACGCCGUAAACGGUGGGAACUAGGUGUUGGCGACAUUCCACGUCGUCGGUGCCGCAGCUAACGCAUUAAGUUCCCCGCCUGGGAGUACGGCCGCAAGGCUAAAACUC